ACGGGAGGCAGCAGUGAGGAAUAUUGGUCAAUGGGCGGAAGCCUGAACCAGCCAAGUCGCGUGAAGGAUGAAGGUAUUAUGUAUUGUAAACUUCUUUAGCAGCAGAGUAAUAAGGGGGUCGUGACCUCCGAUGCAAGUAUGCUGAAAAUAAGGAUCGGCUAACUCCGUGCCAGCAGCCGCGGUAAUACGGAGGAUCCGAGCGUUAUCCGGAUUUAUUGGGUUUAAAGGGUGCGCAGGCGGUUUUUUAAGUCAGUGGUUAAGUCGUGAGGCUCAACCUCAUCACGCCAUUGAUACUGGAAGACUUGAUUGCGGUUGAGGUUGGCGGAAUUCGUCGUGUAGCGGUGAGAUGCAUAGAUAUGACGAAGAACACCGAUUGCGUAGGCAGCAGACCAGGCCGUAAAUGACGCUCAUGCACGAAAGUGCGGGGAUCGAACAGGAUUAGAUACCCUGGUA
rnacentral:rRNA from 1 species